rnacentral:rRNA from 1 species
UGGGGAAUAUUGGACAAUGGGGGCAACCCUGAUCCAGCAAUGCCGCGUGUGUGAAGAAGGCCUGCGGGUUGUAAAGCACUUUUGGCAGGGAUGAAAAGCACUGGAUUAAUAACCCCAGUGUGUUGACCUAACCUGCAGAAGAAGCACCGGCUAACUCUGUGCCAGCAGCCGCGGUAAUACAGGGGGUGCGAGCGUUAAUCGGAAUUACUGGGCGUAAAGGGCGCGUAGGCGGUCGAGUAAGUCGGAUGUGAAAUCCCCGGGCUUAACCUGGGAAUUGCAUUCGAUACUGGCAAUCUAGAGUCCGGAAGAGGUUAGUGGAAUUCCCAGUGUAGAGGUGAAAUUCGUAGAUAUUGGGAAGAACACCAGUGGCGAAGGCGGCUAACUGGUCCGGUACUGACGCUGAGGUGCGAAAGCGUGGGGAGCAAACAGGAUUAGAUACCCCCGUAGUCCCUGAGCGGGCUGGCAAGGCGCAU